UACGUAGGGUGCAAGCGUUGUCCGGAAUUAUUGGGCGUAAAGAGCUCGUAGGCGGUUUGUCGCGUCUGCUGUGAAAUUUCGGGGCUCAACCCCGAACUUGCAGUGGGUACGGGCAGACUAGAGUGUGGUAGGGGAGACUGGAAUUCCUGGUGUAGCGGUGAAAUGCGCAGAUAUCAGGAGGACCACCGAUGGCGAAGGCAGGUCUCUGGGCCACUACUGACGCUGAGAAGCGAAAGCAUGGGGAGCGAACAGG
rnacentral:rRNA from 1 species